rnacentral:rRNA from 1 species
AGUGAACGCUGGCGGUAGGCCUAACACAUGCAAGUCGAACGGCAGCACAGUAAGAGCUUGCUCUUACGGGUGGCGAGUGGCGGACGGGUGAGGAAUACAUCGGAAUCUACUUUUUCGUGGGGGAUAACGUAGGGAAACUUACGCUAAUACCGCAUACGACCUACGGGUGAAAGCAGAGGAUCUUCGGACCUUGCCCGAUUCAAUGAGCCGAUGUCGGAUUAGCUAGUUGGCGGGGUAAAGGCCCACCAAGGCGACGAUCCGUAGCUGGCCUGAGAGGAUGAUCAGCCACACUGGAACUGAGACACGGUCCAGACUCCUACGGGAGGCAGCAGUGGGGAAUCUUGGACAAUGGGCGCAAGCCUGAUCCAGCCAUACCGCGUGGGUGAAGAAGGCCUUCGGGUUGUAAAGCCCUUUUGUUGGGAAAGAAAAGCAGCAGGUUAAUACCCCGCUGUUCUGACGGUACCCAAAGAAUAGGCACCGGCUAACUUCGUG